rnacentral:rRNA from 1 species
GGUUAAGCGACUAAGCGUACACGGUGGAUGCCCUGGCAGUCAGAGGCGAUGAAGGACGUGCUAAUCUGCGAAAAGCGUCGGUAAGGUGAUAUGAACCGUUAUAGCCGGCGAUGUCCGAAUGGGGAAACCCAGUGUGAUUCGUCACACUAUCGUUAACUGAAUACAUAGGUUAACGAGGCGAACCGGGGGAACUGAAACAUCUAAGUACCCCGAGGAAAAGAAAUCAACCGAGAUUCCCCCAGUAGCGGCGAGCGAACGGGGAGCAGCCCAGAGUCUGAAUCAGCUUGUGUGUUAGUGGAACGGUCUGGAAAGUCCGACGGUACAGGGUGAUAGUCCCGUACACCAAAAUGCACAGGUUGUGAACUCGAAUAGUAGGGCGGGACACGUUGUAUCCUGUCUGAAUAUGGGGGGACCAUCCUCCAAGGCUAAAUACUCCUGACUGACCGAUAGUGAACCAGUACCGUGAGGGAAA